rnacentral:misc_RNA from 1 species
AAGUCGUAACAAGGUAACCGUAGGUGAACCUGCGGUUGGAUCAUUAAUAAAUUUAAUUUUGUAAUCAGUUGGCUCGAAAGGGCUGAUUGAUUUGCAAAACACACCUUUGUGAACCGUUUAUUGUAUCUUGGUGCUUUGGUUAAAACGAUUACUUUGUUGUAGUCGGUUAUCAGUUGUUUUCGGACGGCUAAUAGCACUAGGCACCAAAAUUUGUUCUUAAACUUUAUUUUAUAAACCUGUCUUUUAAAGUAUUUUUUAAAUCUAAUUUAAAACAACAACUUUUGGCAACGGAUCUCUAGGCUCUU